rnacentral:rRNA from 1 species
AACGAACGCUGGCGGCAGGCUUAACACAUGCAAGUCGAGCGCCCCGCAAGGGGAGCGGCAGACGGGUGAGUAACGCGUGGGAACCUACCCUUUUCUACGGAAUAACGCAUGGAAACGUGUGCUAAUACCGUAUACGCCCUACGGGGGAAAGAUUUAUCGGAGAAGGCAGGGCCCGCGUUGGAUUAGCUAGUUGGUGGGGUAAAGGCCUACCAAGGCGACGAUCCAUAGCUGGUCUGAGAGGAUGAUCAGCCACAUUGGGACUGAGACACGGCCCAAACUCCUACGGGAGGCAGCAGUGGGGAAUAUUGGACAAUGGGCGCAAGCCUGAUCCAGCCAUGCCGCGUGAGUGAUGAAGGCCCUAGGGUUGUAAAGCUCUUUCACCGGAGAAGAUAAUGACGGUAUCCGGAGAAGAAGCCCCGGCUAACUUCGUGCCAGCAGCCGCCGCCGUAA